UCCGUAGGCGGUGCGGCAAGUCGGAAGUGAAAUCUCAGGGCUUAACCCUGAGGCUGCUUCCGAAACUGCCGUGCUGGAGUGCGAGAGAGGCGAGUGGAAUUGCAGGUGUAGCGGUGAAAUGCGUAGAUAUCUGCAGGAACAUCCGAGGCGAAAGCGGCUCGCUGGAUCGCAACUGACGCUGAGGGACGAAAGCUAGGGGAGCAAACAGGAUUAGAUACCCUGGUAGUCCUAGCCCUAAACGAUCAGGACUGGGCGUGGGCCUCGUACGGGGCUCGUGCCGCAGCUAACGCGUUAAGUCCUGUCGCCGUGGGGAGUACGGUCGCAAGGCUAGAA
rnacentral:rRNA from 1 species